rnacentral:lncRNA from 1 species
CCCACAGGGAACCUGGCUCCUGCCCAAGUUCCUGCAGGCCGUGAACAGCAGCUCUGGGCUUAGAGUCAGUCGACCUGAUGUGCAGGCCCUGCCCAUGCCUGUUGCUUCACCUGUUGCCUCCUGUCAGUGGUCUCAUCGGAGCCUCACGACCUUCCCUCGGGCAGCAGACUUAGGAAGCACAGCCCAGCAAGCUGUCAGAGGCAGGGCUGCUUCCCGCCAGGCCACCCGCCACACCAACAGGGCCAGCACCAGCCGCCCUCCUUCCAGGGUAGCACAAGGACAGAUGGACAGAGAGACAGAUGGACAGAGGACAAACGGGCCACCAGGCAGCCCCACCACCUCGCCUGUGAUGGGUUUUGCACCAGGCAUCACUUGGACAUCACUUGUUUUAAGCAAUUAUUCAGUCAACACUGAGGCUUGACUGAUUAUAAAACACAUCUGCCAGCCUUGGGGGGAAACAGAGUCACGGUCACACCCCAGUGUCUUGAGUGUCAGCGGAUCAGAUCCGAGCUGGGGCCUGCCUACAAAGCCCAGCAGCCACACUGGAAACUUUAGGGCUCUUUCCCCAGCCUGUUCCCCAGGUCCCACAGCAGGAAGUUGCGGAGCCUCAGAGAAGUUCAAAGCCAGGCUGAGGUGAGCCACAUUCACAGACCAUGCUCUCCCCUCACAGCCGGGCCAACCUCAAAUGCAGGAGGAAAGCCAGGAUAUCAUGUCAAACACCUUCAGCCAAGGACCCUAUGGCAUGUUCCAGCCUGGCGCUCACAGGGAAGGGAAGGAAAAGAUGGGGUGCCUUUGUCUCCUGGGCCUUCCCCCUCCUCCCCCCCCUUCC